rnacentral:tRNA from 1 species
GGAGGAUUGGCCGAGUGGAUUAAGGCAGCUGUCUUGAAAACAGCAGGCGCCUAACAAGCGUCCGUGCGUUCGAAUCGUACAUCCUCCGCCA